rnacentral:rRNA from 1 species
UACAGAGGUCUCAAGCGUUGUUCGGAUUCAUUGGGCGUAAAGGGUGCGUAGGCGGCGCGGUAAGUCGGGUGUGAAAUCUCGGAGCUUAACUCCGAAACUGCAUUCGAUACUGCCGUGCUUGAGGACUGGAGAGGAGACUGGAAUUUACGGUGUAGCGGUGAAAUGCGUAGAUAUCGUAAGGAAGACCAGUGGCGAAGGCGGGUCUCUGGACAGUUCCUGACGCUGGGGCACGAAGGUCAGGAGAGCAAACGGG